rnacentral:lncRNA from 1 species
GUUGAAUCCACGGAUGUUUGGAUCCAGCCCCUGGAUACGGAGGGCUGACUUUAAUCUUCCCCCAUCCUUAAGUAUCCUGUGAAGUUAUAAAUGAUGUGUGCCAUGUCUUACACCAGCAACUGUGCCCCCUUGGCCUGGGCACAUGUGGCAACUGUCCAUGCAUCAUGUUGUUUAGGAGUCUUUUUUCCAGAGCUGAUGAUAACAAGACAGUUUCCUCUGCAGCUUCUUUCACCUGGCAUCUAUUUCACAGAGGAGGGAGAGGAGGGAAGGAAAUUGUAAUUCACAGUGAUGUUAUCAGCCAGCACCAUGCCUGGGAGAUCACCAGUGCAGGAGAGGUAUAAAAUGCUCCAGGGGCAAGGUUCUGAGAAGAUGCCCUGCCACUGUAUGAGGCCACAACCUGCUGUGUAUAACCUCAUCUAAGCACAGAGAAGCACCAGGAAGACUGAGCGUGGGAAAUGAUAAAGCAAACUGUGGACUUGAAUGAAAGACAUACAGGUAUUCUUUGUAUUUUUAUAGUUAGCUUCUGAGUCUGAAAUUAUUUCCCAAAUAAAAAGUUAAAAACAAAUCUCUACUGAACAAUGUACAUCUUCCAAGAGAUUUCCUUGUAGCUAAACUACUGAUAAGCUUAGGUUCAUAAAAGUCUAUCUAGCAUCCAGUGACUAAGGUCAAUACCUGGUUAUAGUGAGUUUCACAAUACGCCAGGCCUUUCCUCUCAUAAUGGCGAUGUCCAAGAAAGGGUUUCUCACACUUGGCACAAACAAAAUGCUGAAAAAAAAUUGCUAUAGGUCAUUUUUGAAUUGCCAUAUUUUAUAUC